GACGAACGCUGGCGGCGUGCUUAACACAUGCAAGUCGAACGGAAAGGCCCUGCUUUUGUGGGGUGCUCGAGUGGCGAACGGGUGAGUAACCCGUGAGUAACCUGCCCUGGACUUUGGGAUAACUUCAGGCAACUGGGGCUAAUACCGGAUAGGAGCUCCUGCUGCAUGGUGUGGGUUGGAAAUUUUCGGCGGUUGGGGCUGGACUCCAGGCUUAUCAGCUUGUUGGGGGGGUGGGGGCUUACCAAGGCUUUGACGGGUAGCCGGCCUGAGAGGGUGACCGGCCACAUUGGGACUGAGAUACGGCCCAGACUCCUACGGGGGGCAGCAGUGGGGAAUAUUGCACAAUGGGCGGAAGCCUGAUGCAGCAACGCCGCGUGCGGGAUGACGGCCUUCGGGUUGUAAACCGCUUUCGCCUGUGACGAAGCGUGAGUGACGGUAAUGGGUAAAGAAGCACCGGCUAACUACGUG
rnacentral:rRNA from 1 species